rnacentral:rRNA from 1 species
AUUGGCUAAAUUUGUGCCAGCAGCUGCGGUUAAACAAAGAAUACAAAUAAAUUUUAUAAAUAUAUAAGUUAAAUUGUAUGUAUUUAAUUAAUAAAAAAAUUUUAGGUGAAAUUUUAUUUUUUUAAAAAAUUAAUAUAAAAAAUUAUAUUGAAUCUUGAAAAUUUUAUAUUUAAACUAGGAUUAGAUACCCUAUUAUUUAAUUAUUUAUAAAUAUAGAAAUUAGAGUAGUAAUAGUUAUGGUCUUGAAACUCAAAAAAUUUGGCGGUAUUUUAGUCUAUUCAGAGGAACCUGUAAUAUAAUCGAUAAUCCACGAUGGAUCUUACUUAAUUUUGUAAUUUAAUUUGUAUAUCGCCGUUAUUUGAAAAUUUUAUAAGAAAAAUAAUUUUCUAAAAUUUUUAUUAAAAAAUAAAUCAGGUCAAGGUGCAGUUUAUAAUUAAGUUUUAUAUGGGUUACAAUAAAUUUAUUUAUACGGAUUAAGAAAUGAAAUAUUUUUAAAAAGGUGGAUUUGAUAGUAAAUUUUUAAAGAUAAAAAAAUUGAUUUUAGCUCUAAAAUAUGUACACAUCGCCCGUCGCUCUUGUUAAUAAUAUAAGAUAAGUCGUAACAUAG